rnacentral:lncRNA from 1 species
GCCCCCUUCUCAUCUCUUUCUGUGGUUAGUGCUCUGAUGUCCCGAUAUAGAUAAUCUUGAAGUAAUUCUUGAUUCUUAGAUCAACUAGAGAACUCUCAGGAAACUUCCUCUCUUCCCAUUAAAAAUAAUUAUAUAGUUAUCCUUGGGCGAUCUUUGAUCUUAAUUAGUACACUCACGUUCUCUGUGGAAAAUCGAUACUCUGGAAUACUCCCGGGUGAAAGCUACAUCGGUAUCCGUGCGCUUGCGGAUUUUUUCUGUUUGCGUUUAAAAUACCCAACACCCGCC